UAAUACUAGCGGUCCAAGUCGCAGCCAUAUUUAUUGGGUCUAAAACAUCCGUAGCUUGCUUGAUAAGUUUCUUGUGAAAUCUUAUCUCUUAAAGAUAAGGCGUGUGAGAAGUACUGUCAAGCUAGAGACUGGAAGACGUAAGAAGUACGUUCGAAGUAGCGGUAAAAUGUGUUAAUCUUGGACGGACUCACAAUAGCGAAGGCAUCUUACGAGGACAGUUCUGACAGUGAGGGAUGAAGGCUAGGGGCGCAAAACGGAUUAGAUACCCGUGUAGUCCUAGCAGUAAACACUGCACACUAAACAUCAGUACCUCCUCGAGAGGUAUUGGUGCUGAAGGGAAGCCGAAGAGUGUGCUACCUGGGAAGUAUAGUCGCAAGGCUG
rnacentral:rRNA from 1 species